rnacentral:lncRNA from 1 species
AACGGGAACCGGCGCCCGGAAUGUCAGCGUGUGAAGUAGGCGCUGGCAACGCGGGGUUACCCGCUGUUAUUGAGGAGUAACGGCCCAGCGGACCACCCAGGCUUGAGGCAGCGGCGGGAACCACUCGGUUUGCUGCGAUACCAUGGAAGGAGGCGGGGGAAGCGGCGACAAAACCACAGGGGUAUUGGCCGGCUUUUUCGGAGCCGGCGAAGCAGGUUACUCGCACGCGGAUUUGGCUGGCGUCCCGCUAACUGGUAUGAACCCUCUGUGUCCUUAUUUAAAUGUGGAUCCACGAUACCUCGUGCAGGAUACAGAUGAGUUCAUUUUACCUACCGGAGCUAAUAAAACCUGGGGCAGAUUUGAGCUGGCCUUCUUUACGAUUGGAGGGUGUUGCAUGACAGGGGCUGCGUUUGGGGCAAUGAAUGGUCUUCGGCUAGGAUUGAAGGAAACCCAGAACAUGGCCUGGUCCAAACCAGGAAAUGUACAGAUUUUGAAUAUGGUGACUAGGCAAGGGGCACUUUGGGCUAAUACUCUAGGUUCUCUGGCGUUGCUCUAUAGUGCAUUUGGUGUCAUCAUUGAGAAAACACGAGGUGCAGAAGAUGACCUUAACACAGUAGCAGCUGGAACCAUGACAGGCAUGUUGUAUAAAUGUACAGGCUGGAGUGCAGUGGCGUGAUCUCGGCUAGCUACAACCUCCACCUCCCAGCCGCCUGCCUUGGCCUCCCAAAGUGCCGAGAUUGCAGCCUCUGCCCGGCUGCCACCCCGUCUGGGAAGUGAGGAGCGUCUCUGCCUGGCCGCCCAUCGUCUGGGAUGUGAGGAGCCCCUCUGCCCGGGCUGCCCAGUCUGGGAAGUGAGGAGCGCCUUUUCCCGGCUGCCAUCCCGUCUAGGAAGUGAGGAGCGUCUCGGCCCGGCCACCCAUCGUCUGAGAUGAGGGGAGCGCCUCUGCCCCGCCGCCCCGUCUGGGAUGUGAGGAGCGCCUCUGCCUGGCCGCGACCCCGUCUGGGAGUGUCAGAGAUGGCUUUGGAUUCCCCGUUCUGUGUGCUGCUGUCUGGCUCCUGAACCCAGCUGUAGAGGUGUGUGUCAAUCCCAACUGGUGAAGUACUGAGAAGAAGCUACACAAAAGGCAGCAAAGUAUUACUUUGGAGUUUAACCUUUCUGCCAAUCCAGAGUCAAGCACAAUAUUCCAGAGGAACUCUCAAACAGAAGCUUUGGAGUUUAACCCUUCUGCCAAUCCAGAGGCAAGCACAAUAUUCCAGAGGAACUCUCAAACAGAUGUUGUAGAAAUAAGAAGAAGCAACUGUACAAACCAUGUAUCUGCUGUGCGUUUCAGUCAACAAUACAGCUUGUGUUCGACAAUAUUCCUUGAUGACAGCACAGCCAUCCAGCAUUAUCUUACAAUGACAAUAAUAUCUGUGACCUUGGAGAUACCUCAUCAUAUCACACAAAGAGAUGCAGAUAGAACUUUGAGCAUACCUGAUGAACAGUUACACUCAUUUGCGGUUUCCACCGUGCACAUUAUGAAGAAAAGAAAUGGAGGUGGGAGUUUAAAUAACUAUUCCUCCUCCAUUCCAUCGACUCCCAGCACCAGCCAGGAGGACCCUCAGUUCAGUGUUCCUCCCACUGCCAACACACCCACGCCCGUUUGCAAGCGGUCCAUGCGCUGGUCCAACCUGUUUACAUCUGAGAAAGGGAGUGACCCAGACAAAGAGAGGAAAGCCCCGGAGAAUCAUGCUGACACCAUCGGGAGCGGUAGAGCCAUCCCCAUUAAACAGGGCAUGCUCUUAAAGCGAAGUGGGAAAUGGCUGAAGACAUGGAAAAAGAAAUACGUCACCCUGUGUUCCAAUGGCAUGCUCACCUAUUAUUCAAGCUUAGGUGAUUAUAUGAAGAAUAUUCAUAAAAAAGAGAUUGACCUUCAGACAUCUACCAUCAAAGUCCCAGGAAAGUGGCCAUCCCUAGCCACAUCGGCCUGCACACCCAUCUCCAGCUCUAAAAGCAAUGGCCUAUCCAAGGACAUGGACACCGGGCUGGGUGACUCCAUAUGCUUCAGCCCCAGUAUCUCCAGCACCACCAGCCCCAAGCUCAACCCGCCCCCCUCUCCUCAUGCUAAUAAAAAGAAACACCUAAAGAAGAAAAGCACCAACAACUUUAUGAUUGUGUCUGCCACUGGCCAAACGUGGCACUUUGAAGCCACGACGUAUGAGGAGCGGGAUGCCUGGGUCCAAGCCAUCCAGAGCCAGAUCCUGGCCAGCCUGCAGUCAUGCGAGAGCAGUAAAAGCAAGUCCCAGCUGACCAGCCAGAGCGAGGCCAUGGCCCUGCAGUCGAUCCAAAACAUGCGUGGGAACGCCCACUGUGUGGACUGUGAGACCCAGAAUCCUAAGUGGGCCAGUUUGAACUUGGGAGUCCUCAUGUGUAUUGAAUGCUCAGGUAUCCACCGCAGUCUUGGCCCCCACCUUUCCCGUGUGCGAUCUCUGGAGCUGGAUGACUGGCCAGUUGAGCUCAGGAAGGUUAUGUCAUCUAUUGUCAAUGACCUAGCCAACAGCAUCUGGGAAGGGAGCAGCCAGGGGCAGACAAAACCCUCAGAAAAGUCCACGAGGGAAGAGAAGGAACGGUGGAUCCGUUCCAAAUAUGAGGAGAAGCUCUUUCUGGCCCCACUACCCUGCACUGAGCUGUCCCUGGGCCAGCAGCUGCUGCGGGCCACCGCUGAUGAGGACCUGCAGACAGCCAUCCUGCUGCUGGCACAUGGCUCCUGUGAGGAGGUGAACGAGACCUGUGGGGAGGGAGACGGCUGCACGGCGCUCCAUCUGGCCUGCCGCAAGGGGAAUGUGGUCCUGGCGCAGCUCCUGAUCUGGUACGGGGUGGACGUCAUGGCCCGAGAUGCCCACGGGAACACAGCGCUGACCUACGCCCGGCAGGCCUCCAGCCAGGAGUGCAUCAACGUGCUUCUGCAGUACGGCUGCCCCGACGAGUGUGUGUAGUAUCUGUUUUAUUUGACUGCAGUCUCCUUGGUGCAAAAACAAAAUGGGAAAAAUAAGGAUAACUCAGAAUUUCAAAAGGAAAUCACAAAUUCAGCUAAUAUUAGCAUUUUCAGUACUUUUCGUAAACUAAGUAAAUACACAAAAUGUUGAUUUUUCUGACCAUAAGACGUAUUUUAUGUCCUUCUGCCAAGGUGGAUUUGUUAGUCUCAGGCCCUCCUGGCCACAUUGCCCAAGUCACACAGGCUUCUGUAUUAUGUAUUUAGAUAAAAUGUGUGAAAACAUAUUUGAAAUAAAGUUCAUAAAUAUGCAUUGAUUUUUGUACACAUGGCA